GUGAGCAGUGAAGAAUGAGUUUACGAAGUGAGUCACAAAGAACUCACAAGCUUAGAGGAGAUUCUCAGUUGAGAUUUCCGAAAGCAAAAGAAAAGAGACAGACACAUACAUUACAUUGGUACAUUUUUGAGAACCAGGAAAUGUACAAGUGCGGUUCCCCUGGCAACCUUUGUGUAGAGUGUGAGAGUCAGCGCAGCAGUUUCUCCUGUUUUCAUGCUGCAAUCAAGAACUUGAUUGUUUCGCUUUUAAUCCUGAGACAACUUCUUUAUAAAUUACUGCACGAUAAUGUCCGUGUCAAAGUCUGUUUCCUGGGGAAGCUGACCUGGAACAGAUAGAACACACGUGUAAAGCUGUUUGGAAAUACAGAGUACUCCAACUUCAGAAGAAAGUAGAUAAACACCCAUGGAGCUUGGGAGCAGAAUCCAAGAAACCACCAAUAGCCUGGGUCUACUGCUCCUUCCAAGAAUAACUUGAGUGUUAAAAGACAAGAAGAACCUUUGAUAUGCUGCUGACUCUAAGUUAGCUCCAGCAAUAUUAGCAAAAGGUAUUUGGGACUCCGAGCGACCUGGGUUUGGUGUAGGCUUUUAAGUUACCCCAGUCCAGAUUCAAGUUCAUCGAGUUCAACGUGGAUGCAGGUUUGUGUACAUCAACUCAUUCUAAUAUAUACUAUAUGCUCCAUCCAUCCAUCCAUCCGUCUAUCCAUCCAUACAGCCAGCCAGUGGGGAAAGAAUAAAACUUCCUGAUGCACAAGAAAAGAAUGUAAGGAAGAUAAGUUACAUAUUCGGUAGUGCUAUAUUAGCCAUUUUAAUAUUAGAUCUUGUGAACACGUGUUAAUUUGACUACAGCAGCCUCAGUUAAAAAAAAAAUACAGCCUCCUUCUCAGACUUAUGUCCUAAUCAUUUGUCUGAAGAUCAAUUUCACCAUAUUUUGGAGAUGUUAAUGACAUACUCCAACUUCUGUGGGAAAUCAAGCCCUCUAGGAAUGUGGAAUGACGUAGGUCAAGUUCAAGCACAUUACUAAGCAAUAGAUUACAACAGCUCAGAACACAGUUCUUAUUCUCUAUUAGAAUCUGCUGCUUUUGCAUUAUUCUCCUUUGUAUUGUUUUUCAAGAGAGAAAAAGAGUGAAUCUUAACUCUGCAAUUAGUGAGGGUAAUCAAGACCUUCUAGUGAAAGAGUUCCCUCAUUGGCCUUGAACGUGAUUGAUGGUGAUGGGAGGCUGCUUUGCUCGUGGAAUUUCAGGGAGCUGUGACAUGUUUAUGCCACAGGUGCCAAAGGCUGAAAUGUGGACUGUAUAAGAAGUCAUACGCAGUUUGGAGUAAGCCCCCAGGGAUGGCAGAGAAACAGAAAUGGAAGGGAGCAUGGAUCUCUGAUAUCAUCAAUCUACCAUACCAGCAAUGGACUACAUACUCAGGCUGUUUUGGGAAGAAAGAAAUAAAUUACUGUUGGUAAGGAAAAAAAAAAUCAACUAUAUUGUCGAACCUCUGAAUACAGAGAUCUAGCCUUGAAUCUUCAAUAUAUCAGUCUAGCUGGCAAUCUCAUACAUCGUCCUGCACAUAUUGUCUAAGUGCCUGUCUUCUCACCAAGCUUUAUAAAACAAUAAGGCUACAUUACAUUCACUAACUUUGAGUCCCCAUUUAAGUAAUUUCAGAAUCUAGUAAAUUUUCAGGAUCCAUCUUUUUUUCCUUUUAAUUAUUUCUCAAAGUCCCCACAAGUUUUCUCACAGUGCUUGUAAAUUAAUCAAGGCUCUUUGUAUACAACACUGCUUGACAUCUAUUCUGGGACCUUGCUCAUCUCUAUUUCUGUUCUAUGAUAUACCCUAAGGAACUGAAGGUUACUUUUCUCAUUUUACUGAUUCCUAGUUAUUUCAAGAUAAAAAGAUGAGUUGGAUUCUUCAUUCUGUAUAUUAUGCUUUGUUUGGGAGUCAUAGCUCCAUUAUUUUCAUCCUACGGUUUACCUCAACUAUCAAGGUGGCUAGUUGGGAUCAUUUGCGUUAACAACCUCCCGUGAAUUUUGACUUCUUGUAUCUGACUUAUUUCAUCAGAAUGAGUUCUAUCUCUAUGAUCUCAUAGUGUCCCUGAAAAUUAUACUUCUAGAGCUUCUUUAUUUGCUAAUUUUAGUUCUCACUGUGCUGACUGCAAACUCCAUUUUGGGAUAUACUUUGAAUAAUUUUUCCAGAAAUAAAAAAUGCAACAGGAAAAUUGAAAAGAUAUACUAAAAAAUUUCUGAUAAUCUGGAAGAAGGCAGGAUUAAAGUAGAUAUCUGUGCAAUUGGAGUAGAAGCUGAGUAUAGAAUUUGUAUGUUUAUGGAGAAGCAGAAUUUCGUUCUAACCAGCCAGUAUCUCACCUUUAUGAUGUAGAAUACCUUACAGCAUGGAUGCUCAGAUCUCAAUGGUAACACUAUUUUUUUUUUUGUCUCCUAUGUUUUAAACCUUUUAGUUGCUAUUUUAAAAUAAGAGAAAAAUAAUCCCAUUUUACUAAUACUGAAUUCUAUAACUCAAAACAAAGCGUGAAGUUUCAAGAAUAUCUGAAAAACAAACAAACAAAGCUGGAAUGACUAGCAAUUACAUCUUCUGUAAUAAUAUGGAUCUUUGAUUUCCUAAAUAGAAGUUGGCUCAAAUACAUAUUAAUUUAAAAUGUGAAAAUUCUAAUGUAGAAUUACUUGAGCUUUGUUACUUAAGAGUGAUAUGAAAGAGAGAGGAAAGGGGUGCAUAUUUAAAAGAGAACUCGUUUUAUUAAAACUUUCUGGAAAGGCUUUACCAAAUUUUAGUUCAUUUUCUUAUUUCUCAAAACACAGGAAGGCAGCUAAUUGAAAGAGAACAGCUUGAAACCAUUUUUAGAAUACAAGGGGAAUAAAUAAAUGAAAAAAUAUAUAUGCAGAAUUGAAGGUCAAUACCAAAUAGCUUUAGUACUAUUGGCGGUAGCCUCAUUUUCAAGGCAAUAGCAGCCGGUUGGUCAAUGUAAGUAAGCAUCAUGUAGAAUUGCUAUUAUAGAGUCUAUAUUCCUUAACCACCUUCACGUAGAAAGAGGGCAAGUAAUAUUGGAAUGCCUAGUAAUGGAUUAAUAUAUUUUAUUAAAAUUUUCUGUAAUGUGAAUUUGAAAAUGUAUUUUGGAAACAUAUUUUGGUUCAGCCAAGAACCAUCUAAUGGCGGUUCUACUCUAGAAAAGAGGAAUAGUCGUGAGCCUUGACCUGCAGAUUUGGAUCCUACUUACUGAAGUGCCAAAGCUGGAGUUACCCAAGUAGUAAACAUUUUGACAUAGUAACCCCAAACUAAAAAUUCUUAGGUGAAUUUGCAAGUUUACAUAGCAUUGUUAAAUGAAAAAGUAACUUUCCUGUUGACUUCAGCCACAGAGCACAUAUAACAGCUACACUAACAAUGCCAAAAUAAAGUGGGGGAGGGAGCAGAGAGAAGAAGGAAAUAAUCAUUUAUAUGAAUUGGAAAUACAAAACAUUCCAAGCAAAAAUGAGUUACACUUUGAAAGUAUUUUCUCAAUGUCAAAAUGUUUUCUAAUGGGCCAGAAAAAGAUGGAAAAUACUUUCUACUUAAAAACAUAAUUAGACUCACAAAUAUUCUUCCCAUUAGCAUCAUCUUUCCCCAAAAUGCUCUCUGUUUACUAUUAAUUAUUCUCUACUGCUCAUUGUGUCCAGAUGACUGCAUGUAUAAUAAUGUAAGCAUAAGCAUGUAAUAAAUAUAAUCAUUGUUUUCCCCCUAAUAGAUUUGUAUGAAAAACAAAUAAAAGGUUCCUCAGAAGCUAGGUUUCAAGGAUUUCAUGAAACUGAUUUGCCCACCUUCCUGAUCACUGGCUAUAUUAACCCUUUUGCUUCUUUCAUAUAAUUAUGCCAACAUGCAUAAGAUGAUACCAUGGAAUUACAGGAUAUGAAAAUAUUUCCAGCAUUAUCAGAAAAGAUUCAAAUGUGAUCAGUAGUGUUGUGUAUUUUGUUGAAUAAAAAUUUUAAGAAAAAUUGAUGGUACAUUCCAUGUGUCAACUACAUAGAACUAUUCACGUUUCCAUGAGCAAACCUUGUUUUUUUACGCAUUCAUACAUCCAUCGAAUGGGAUCUUUCCUUUACCAUAAAUUCCCUCUUUCCCUUUAUAAGCCUGAGGAAUUCCUGAGAAUUUUUGUAUUAAAUAUUCCCUAUGUACAACAAACCAUGCUCCCAUGGAAAUUUUUGCUUGCCUCUUCUGUACUGCUAGUUGUACUGUAUUCCACUUUUUGUUACACAUUUAUUUUAUUGAAGUGUAGACAUUUCAAGGUCAUCUGCCUUAUUUACCUUUAUAUUCCCUAUUUGUAGGAUUUUGCUAGUAUGGUAGAGGUCAAAAUGUUAAACAACUCGAAUGCUUAGAGUUGCAAAAAGUACUUUCUCCUAUAUUAUCUCAUUUAAUCUUUUAGCAACCCAGUGAGAUAGUUCUGUAUUAAACAGAUGUAUGAUUAACUGUAACAGUGUAGUAUUUAAUCAAGUUGGAUAGCAUAAUAGUAAUUUCCAAACCUGGCAACUGGUCAAACUCACCAGGAGUGAUUUAUUACAAAUGAUAAGCUAAACUAAAGUAAAAUAAAUAUCUCCGUGGUAUAAAAUACAACAGGUACAGAGGAGUAUGUUGGAUAUACACCACCACAAAUAAGAUCAGGCUAUAUAUUCUAUUUUCUAAUUUCCUUAUUUUCAUCUAAUAAUAGUUUGGAGAUGGCUUCACUAUCACCUCACAUAGAUCCACUUCAUUCUUUUCAGUGGCUCUACAGUAUGCCAAUAUAUGAAUGCACAAUUUAUUCAACCAGGUCUCUAUUUGGUUUUGUUGUUUUUUCUAGGGGUGGGUGUUGUUUGUUUGUUUGUUUGUUUUUCUCUUGCAAAGAAAGCUCAAUGGUCAUUCUAGUAUAUAUCUUUAUCUUUAUAUGUAUAUACAUACACACAGUCAUGUGCCGCAUAACGAAUUUUUGGUUAACAAGGAAUCACAUAUACUACGGUGGUCCUAAGGAAGUAAUUCUCAGAAUGUAUCCUGUCACUAAACAACCCAUGACUGUAUAAAUAUAUAUUUCUUUGCAUAUUUUUCUGAAUGUAUUUAGAGAUCAUAUUACCAUGGGUGGAUUGCUGGUUCCAAAGAUAUAUGCAGUAAAAUUUUUGAUAGAUGUUAUAAUUGGUUUCAAAAUUUUUGUGUUAGCUUGAAUUCUCACCAAGGAGAAUUGAGAAUUGCUGAUUCACCACACGUUUGCUUACAGAGGUAAUAUCCAACUUUAAUCUUGGCCCAUCUUGAUCGUGAAAAUUGGCAUCUUGUUCCUGUUAUACUUGAGUUUCUUUAAUUAUGAGUGAGGUUGAGCAUCUCUUCAUAUAUUUACUGGCCAUUUGUGUAUGUGCACAUGUGUGUGCCAUCUGUUCAUAUUCUUGAUCCAUUUUUUUUUCAUAUUGUUAGUCUUUUCUAUACUUUUUGUAACAGCUCUAGUAUAACAAGGAAAUUAGUCCUUUUGCAUGAUUUGCAAAUAUUGUCACCAGUUAUUAUCUGUAUUAAACAUACAGAGCACUUUUCUUGCCUCCAACCUUGACCUAUUGAAUCUUUGGAAGUGAGAACUAGGAACCUAAAAUUUUCGAAAGCUUCCCCCAGGUGAUUCUACUGUAGCUGGCCCAUGGACGGUGUUUUGAGAACUGGCUUAUAUGGCAGACAUGAAAUAGUUAAGCGCAAAAACCUGUGUUACGAGAGAAACUCUUUGGUAGAAAUAUGCAGGAAGAAUCAUGGAAACCAUGACUCUACCCAACUGGGAAUCCUUUCCUCAAGGGCAUUAAUCUGGAAGUCAUUUUUCAUGACAAAAGGAUCAUAACUAUAAAAACUCCUCUUGGAAUCACAGCAUGGUAGAAAUAUAGAAACUUUCCAAGAGAUAGAGAGAGCUAUAAAUCUAUUUCUAGGGUACUUCAGAAAAGAUAUUUUGCAGAGCAUUUGGAAGAGCAAGUAUUCUUUGCAAUGACAUGGGCCAAAUGGAGAUACAAAGACUGAGAAUUAUCAGUAAAUGAAAAUAAGAACUAACAGCAAUAGUUGACAAUAAAGGAGGCAUAAUCAUCUUGGAUAAGAGAUACUACUGAGAGCUAUGCUAAUUCUUUAAUGACAAGGGAUUAAUUAUUAUUAUUAUACAGUUUUGUACCUGUCACAUAUAAUAAAAAUAGCGAGCAUGUUAAGCAUUUUGCUAACUACUUUAUGGGAACUAUUUGACUUCGUGCCUAUAAAGUUGCCACUAUUAUCCUCUUUUUACAGAAAAAAAAUGAGUCUAAAUUGGAUAAAUGGUUUGUCUGAGGUUGUUCAGAUGCUAAGUGGCAGAGUUGGGCUUUGAACAGUACAGCUUAAGAGCAUGUGCUCAAACCACCAUAGUAAACUUCUUAAAUUUCAGUUUAUUAUUACUAAACCAAGUGAAUGACAUGAAGUUACAAUUUCGCAGAGUGAGUCCAGACUCUAGGAAGUAUCCCGUUUUUCCUCUUCUCCUCACAUAUUUACUUUAUCCCAUAAAUAAGAGAAUUUUCACCAAUCUUUCCAGUCAAUUGAGAAAAUGCAAAGAGGCAAUGUCUGUCUUUUCUGUUUUUUUACUUACUCCUCCCCCUAGAGGUAGAGUAACUUGUCCAAAGUUCAUAUUCAUGUUAAAGAGAAUGGCACAUAGGUAGUACUUUACUAAAUCUGUCUUUUUUUGCUCUUUUGGUACUGUUUACUCUUUCCCCAGCUAAGUGAGGGUUUAUGUUGUUUCCAUUCUCCAUGAAGUGAAAAAACUGGGCUUCAAUCUAGCAGAACCAAGACUUCAGGUCUCUCUGCUCCAUAUCCUCCACCUGGGCCUUAGGCUGAUACUGUAAGCUUACACCACUGGAACACUUGUGUGGUUUUUCAGUUGACUAGAGUUUGUGGGAGAUCAUACAGGAAUGAUUAGUGCCUCCCUUUGUAACACAUGGUUCUAUUCUUUAAGAAUAGGAUUAACAUUUGAGGAAUGAAUCAUCCCAUUGGAGGAUGGAUGACUCUGUUUAGCUGCAGUGGCUGGUGUUCACUGGUCAGAAACUGGUUUUAACAAGCAUGUGCUGGUUUUAAAGUUUGGGCUACGGGGCUGCAGGGGUACAGCAGAAUAUGCUGACCUCAGACACAGUUUCAAGGCUGUAUUUAGCAAGAGAACUCUUCCCAAAGGUUAAGAAAGCUUUGUCCAAGCACUUGAAAUAGGAGAGACCUGCUCUGAAGCAGAGAGAGAGAUUUCUUUCCUUGGAUUAGCAGUCUCUCUUAGAAAGCUUAACAUAGAAUAGCAGCUUCGCUUCUCCAAUGAUCUGCCAGAGCCAACCCUGGCCAUGAAAACUAGAGAGAAAUAACGGGCAGGCUUUGCUUCGGUACCUAGUUUUCCAGUUCGUUUUUCUGUUGUUCCUCCUGCCUCCUGCUUGUAAGUCAGGGUGAAAAUAACUAUUAUCUUACAGAAGUUAGAAUUUAGAGUGACAAAAGAGUAAUGAAGGUUAUGCAUACUUAAGUGAAUUAACUGGUGAGGAAGAGAAAAGUUUUGAGGAGAAACCAUGUAGCAGAGAUCUCAUUGGUGUCUGAAAGCAUAGGCUCAUUGAGUGACAUCACACUAGGACCAAGGAAAUGUGUAGGCACUGAGGUAAGAGUGCCUGCUCAGAUAAUUACUCCUUAGUGGCCUUAUGAGACAAGCUCCAUGGUAAUAGACAAUGUGUAUGGUAUGAAAAAUCAAAAAUAACUUGUGGUCUUAAUGGAGAUGGAGGUAGAAAAAUAUAGCAGCCAUGGAAUUUAGGGCAUUUAGCUUUUUUUUUUUUUUUAAAAUUUUCCUGUUAUAAUCAUGGAAUGCCUCCCUUCUGGAUAGAGUUCAGGGUCAGUUCAACUUGGAGGGCUGGAAAUGCAAAACUUAAAGGUGAAUGUGGAAAUGAUGUUGUUCUGCAUGUGUGGGGAGACAGCAAGGCAAGAAAAGAGUCUCAAGUAAGUCCUAUAGCCUGGGCGUCUGACCAUUGCAGUGUCUACAUGUUUCAAAGAAGAUAGGAGAGGGCUCAAUGCUACUGUCUGAAACACAGAUCACUGUAGAAAUGGCUUUCUGCCCUGAAUGUGGGAGGCACAGUGUCACAAAAAUUUUCCCACAUGUGGUUAAAUUUCCGGAUCAUGGAUUACAAACAUAUGGCUGAAAUAAAGAUUUUUCUCUUUCUUUAA